UACGGAGGGAGCUAGCGUUGUUCGGAAUUACUGGGCGUAAAGCGCACGUAGGCGGCUUUGUAAGUUAGAGGUGAAAGCCCGGGGCUCAACUCCGGAAUUGCCUUUAAGACUGCAUCGCUCGAAUUGUGGAGAGGUAAGUGGAAUUCCGAGUGUAGAGGUGAAAUUCGUAGAUAUUCGGAAGAACACCAGUGGCGAAGGCGACUUACUGGACACAUAUUGACGCUGAGGUGCGAAAGCGUGGGAGCAACAGG
rnacentral:rRNA from 1 species